AGAACGAACGCUGGCGGCAUGCCUAACACAUGCAAGUCGAACGAGACCUUCGGGUCUAGUGGCGCACGGGUGCGUAACGCGUGGGAACCUGCCUUUAGGUUCGGAAUAACUCUCCGAAAGGGGUGCUAAUACCGGAUAAUGUCUUCGGACCAAAGAUUUAUCGCCUUUAGAUGGGCCCGCGUAAGAUUAGGUAGUUGGUGGGGUAAAGCCUACCAAGCCGACGAUCUUUAGCUGGUCUGAGAGGAUGAUCAGCCACACUGGGACUGAGACACGGCCCAGACUCCUACGGGAGCAGCAGGUGGGGAAUAUUGGACAA
rnacentral:rRNA from 1 species